GGAGGGCGAUCUGGCUGUAACAUCUGUCACCCGAUUGAUCCAGGGUUGAUUUGACUGAUCUGGCUGGCUAGGCGGGUGUCCCCUUCCCUCACUGCUCCAUGUGCAUCCCUCCCGAAGCUGUGUGCUCAGUCGAAGAGGAUGGCCUUCCCCAAAUACAGACUGACCCGACCCGGUCUUUAGUCUUAGCUUGAGGGUAUUCGAGUAGCUGCACUUCCCUGCUAGAACCUCCAAACAAGCUCUCAAAAAAAGUAAUUUCACUUUGUGUUUCUUACAGAUUAACAACUGAUUUUCAAUGUCUGGCUUU
rnacentral:snRNA from 1 species